rnacentral:tRNA from 1 species
GCCGCCGUAGCUCAGUCGGUAGAGCAACCGCCUUGUAAGUGGUAGGUCAUGGGUUCGAAGCCCAUCGGCGGCU